rnacentral:rRNA from 1 species
CGCGUAGGUGGUUGCGUCAGUCGGAUGUGAAAUCCCCAGGCUUAACCUGGGAACUGCAUCCGAUACUGCGUGACUCGAGUGCAGCAGAGGGAAACGGAAUUCCUGGUGUAGAGGUGAAAUUCGUAGAUAUCAGGAGGAACACCGGUGGCGAAGGUGGUUUCCUGGGCUGACACUGACACUGAGGCGCGAAAGCGUGGGUAGCAAACAGGAUUAGAUACCCUGGUAGUCCACGCUGUAAACGGUGAGUGCUGGGUGUGGGAGGUGUAAUGCCUUCUGUGCCGAAGCUAACGCGUUAAGCACUCCGCCUGGGGAGUACGGCCGCAAGGUUGAA